ensembl:lncRNA
CGCCACGUCCCACCUUCUCAGCCUCACAGGGACAGAAAGGAGCUCCAUGGCUUUGAAGUUGUGCGUGCUUUUUGCCAUUCAGGGGAAGGCAAGGCUGUGACAGCAGGUACACAGCAGCAGUGUGUACUUUCAGUGCACAGCAUGGAGUUAUUUUGGUCUUUCAAAAUCCGGUACCUAUGCUAUUUAUCCUUGAGCGUCUUUUACUAGCGCUGUGCCUAUUUAUACUCAUGCAACCAUAGCACCCUCCGUAAUGGCAAUAAUUCUUAAUGCAAUGGCAUUUGUAGCAGUGAGCAGAAAGCAGAAGCUGUUCCCCCUGAGUGGCCGGCUGUCCAGCGACGUUGGCAGUGUGUCAGAGAAGUCAGGAAGCCUUGGAAAAGAAAAGGAAAGAGGGAAACAGAACUCACAGGCCAAGAGGCAAAGGCAUUCCAAUAAAGGCUUAGUGGUUUUGCCAAGACAAUUAAAUUGUUUACAAGGAAUCAAGUUGGUUUGGAGGAAACUUGGAGAUCUGUGAAUGCCAAGAGCUCCUCAUCCUUACAAGGUAAAGGGCAUGUAAAAAAAUGUAAAAUCCCAUUUGAUAACAUUAUGCAAUAACCAAGGCACACAUAGCAUCUGGACCUGCAUGCUGUGUUGGAUGGUCCAGAGCCAAAGGUUUCCUCUGCUUACGUUUUGCCUCCCCUGCUACAGGCACAGCCAACUCCUUGCAAGAUUUCAGCCAGGCUCUUAGCCCUGCCUUUAAGAUAAAUGAACACAGC